rnacentral:rRNA from 1 species
UGGGGAAUAUUGCACAAUGGGCGCAAGCCUGAUGCAGCAACGCCGCGUGAACGAUGAAGGUCUUCGGAUCGUAAAGUUCUGUUGCAGGGGAAGAUAAUGACGGUACCCUGUGAGGAAGCCCCGGCUAACUACGUGCCAGCAGCCGCGGUAAUACGUAGGGGGCUAGCGUUAUCCGGAUUUACUGGGCGUAAAGGGCUUGUAGGCGGUUGGCCGCGUCUGCCGUGAAAUCCUCUGGCUUAACUGGGGGCGUGCGGUGGGUACGGGUUGACUUGAGUGCGGUAGGGGAGACAGGAAUUCCUGGUGUAGCGAUGGAAUGCGCAGAUAUCAGGAGGAACACCGGUGGCGAAGGCGGGUCUCUGGGCCGUUACUGACGCUGAGGAGCGAAAGCGUGGGGAGCGAACAGG